UCCACCAUUAAAAAAUUUCUCUCCACCUUCUUCUCUCCAUUUCUUCCAUUAAAAUAUUCCACUCCUUCCGUCCAUAGUUUCUUCUAUAGAACUCUCUAUCAUUUAGCUCCAUAAUCUAUAUGAGUUUGUAAAUAAGUGUAUUUACUCAUGUAUUAGCAUAUAUUAGCUUUUAUAGUAUGUAUUUAAGUUUGCUUGAGCUUGAUCAGUGUACAUAAGGCUUAUACGG
rnacentral:lncRNA from 1 species